AUUGAACGCUGGCGGCAGGCCUAACACAUGCAAGUCGAGCGGUAGAGAGGAGCUUGCUUCUCUUGAGAGCGGCGGACGGGUGAGUAAUGCCUAGGAAUCUGCCUGGUAGUGGGGGAUAACGUUCGGAAACGGACGCUAAUACCGCAUACGUCCUACGGGAGAAAGUGGGGGAUCUUCGGACCUCACGCUAUCAGAUGAGCCUAGGUCGGAUUAGCUAGUUGGUGAGGUAAAGGCUCACCAAGGCGACGAUCCGUAACUGGUCUGAGAGGAUGAUCAGUCACACUGGAACUGAGACACGGUCCAGACUCCUACGGGAGGCAGCAGUGGGGAAUAUUGGACAAUGGGCGCAAGCCUGAUCCAGCCAUGCCGCGUGUGUGAAGAAGGUCUUCGGAUUGUAAAGCACCUUAAGUUGGGAGGAAGGUCAGUAGCUUAAUACGUUGCUGAUUUGACGUUACCGACAGAAUAAGCACCGGCUAACUCUGUGCCAGCAGCCGCUGUAAGAC
rnacentral:rRNA from 1 species